rnacentral:tRNA from 1 species
GAGGGGGGCCCCAAGGCAAUAAGUACUGCUAAUCCUUAAAUCCACGGUUAAACUCCGUGGCUUCCUCG